CCUACGGGCGGCAGCAGUAGGGAAUCUUCGGCAAUGGGGGCAACCCUGACCGAGCAACGCCGCGUGAGUGAAGAAGGUUUUCGGAUCGUAAAACUCUGUUGUUAGAGAAGAACGUUAAGUAGAGUGGAAAAUUACUUAAGUGACGGUAUCUAACCAGAAAGGGACGGCUAACUACGUGCCAGCAGCCGCGGUAAUACGUAGGUCCCAAGCGUUGUCCGGAUUUAUUGGGCGUAAAGCGAGCGCAGGUGGUUUCUUAAGUCUGAUGUAAAAGGCAG
rnacentral:rRNA from 1 species